rnacentral:ncRNA from 1 species
UUUCUUCAGGGCAGGGUGAAAUUCCCUACCGGCGGUAAAGUCCGCGAGCCGUGAGGCAUGAUCCGGUGUGAUUCCGGAACCGACAGUAUAGUCUGGAUGAGAGAAGAA